rnacentral:rRNA from 1 species
AUUGAACGCUGGCGGCAUGCUUUAUACAUGCAAGUCUAACGGCAGCGCGGGCUUCGGCCUGGCGGCGAGUGGCGAACGGGUGAGUAAUGCAUCGGAACGUGCCCAGUAGUGGGGGAUAGCCCGGCGAAAGCCGGAUUAAUACCGCAUACGACCUGAGGGUGAAAGCGGGGGACCGAAAGGCCUCGCGCUAUUGGAGCGGCCGAUGUCGGAUUAGCUAGUUGGUGGGGUAAAGGCUUACCAAGGCGACGAUCCGUAGCUGGUCUGAGAGGACGACCAGCCACACUGGGACUGAGACACGGCCCAGACUCCUACGGGAGGCAGCAGUGGGGAAUUUUGGACAAUGGGGGCAACCCUGAUCCAGCCAUGCCGCGUGCGGGAAGAAGGCCUUCGGGUUGUAAACCGCUUUUGUUCGGGAAGAAAUCCUCUGGGCUAAUACCCCGGGGGGAUGACGGUACCGGAAGAAUAAGCACCGGCUAACUACGUG